rnacentral:rRNA from 1 species
UACGUAGGGGGCAAGCGUUGUCCGGAAUCAUUGGGCGUAAAGCGCGUGUAGGCGGCUUCGUAAGUCCGUUGUGAAAGUCCAGGGCUCAACCCUGGAAUGCCGAUGGAUACUGCGGAGCUAGAGUCCGGAAGAGGCGAGUGGAAUUCCUGGUGUAGCGGUGAAAUGCGCAGAUAUCAGGAGGAACACCAAUGGCGAAGGCAGCUCGCUGGGACGGUACUGACGCUGAGGCGCGAAAGCCAGGGGAGCAAACGGG